UUUAAAUGGCCGCAGUAUACUGACUGUGCAAAGGUAGCAUAAUCAAUAGUCUUUUAAUUGAAGGCUUGAAUGAAUGGUUGGACGAGAUAUUAACUGUUUCAUUUAAAUUUAUAUAAGAAUUUUAUUUUUUAGUCAAAAAGCUAAAAUAAUUUUAAAAGACGAGAAGACCCUAUAAAUCUUUAUAUUUAUUUUAAUUAUAAUUUUUUAGAUUUUUUAUAUUGUAAUUAUUUAUAAUAUUUUAUUGGGGUGAUAUUAAAAUUUAAUAAACUUUUAAUUAUUUAAACCAUUAAUUUAUGAAUUAUUGAUCCAUUAAUAAUGAUUAAAAAUUUAAGUUACUUUAGGGAUAACAGCGUAAUUUUUUUGGAGAGUUCUUAUCGAUAAAAAAGAUUGCGACCUCGAUGUUGGAUUAAGAUAUAAUUUUAGGUGUAGUCGCUUAAAUUUUAAGUCUGUUCGACUUUUAAAUUCUUAC
rnacentral:rRNA from 1 species